ACCUGCCCGGUGAAUAUUAAACGGCUGCGGUAUUUUCGACCGUACAAAGGUAGCGUGGUAAUUAGUUUCUUGAUUGGGGGCUGGUAUGAAAGGUUGGACGAGAAAAAUACUGUGUUCGGUUAAAUUUGAUUGAAUUUAAUUUUUGAGUUAAAAAGCUCAAAUUUGUUUAGAGGACGAGAAGACCCUAUAGAGUUUAAGAUUCUUUAUUUUAAUUUUUCUUGGUAUUUUAAUUCCUUAAAUUAAAAGUAUUUUUGGUUGGGGAGAUGGUAGGAUUUUAUAAACUCCUAUUUUUUUAAUUUACAUUGAUUUGUGGAUUUUUGAUCCUUGGUAGAGAUUGAAAGAUAAAAUUACCUUAGGGAUAACAGCGUAAUUUUUUUAAGAGUUCUUAUUAAAAAGAAAGAUUGCGACCUCGAUGUUGGAUUAAAAUUUAAUUUUGGUGUAGAAGCUGAAAAAUUAAGUCUGUUCGACUUUUAAAAUUUUACAUGAUCUGAGU
rnacentral:rRNA from 1 species